GGGUACCAAAAAUGGGACACGGGAUUUUAAAAAAAAAAAAAAAUUUUAGACUUUGCGCGACCAAUAUAUAUUUUUCGUCUCGCAAAAAUUUGGGCUGGUACCAAAAAUCGGACGCGGGAAUUUUUUUAGACUUUGCGCGACCAGUAUGUAUUUUUCGUCGCGCAAAAAUUUAAAAAUUUUGGCGGGUACCAAAAAUGGGACGCGGGGAUUUUUAUUUUUUUUAAAUAAUUUUUUUAGACUUUGCGCGACCAAUAUGUAUUUUUCGUCGCGCAAAAAUUUAAAAAUUUUGGCGGGUACCAAAAAUGGGACGCGGGGAUUUUUAUUUUUUUUAAAUAAUUUUUUUAGACUUUGCGCGAUUAAUAUUCCUAUAUUCGUCGCGCAAAAAUUUAAAAAUUUUGGCGGGUACCAAAAAUGGGACGCGGGGAUUUUUAUUUUUUUAAAAUGAUUUUUUUAGACUUUGCGCGACCAAUAUUCCUAUAUUCGUCGCGCAAAAAUUUAAAAAUUUUGGCGGGUACCAAAAAAUGGGACGCGGGGAUUUUUAUUUUUUUUAAAUAAUUUUUUUAGACUUUGCGCGACCAAUAUGUUUCGUCGCGCAAACCUUUGCGCGACCAACAAUAUUUUUCGUCGCGCAAAGUGAUACGGUUUUUAAAACCGAAAUAACUCAUCCACCAUUUUCUCAAUGCCUUUCUCUACUCUUACCUCUCCUUUCUCUUUCCCUCUCCCCAAAUCCCACCAUUUCUCUCACUCACUCCUCUCACUUAAUCUCUCAUCUCUCUCUUCACUAUCUCUCACUCUCUCUCACUCACUCUCUCAUCUCUCUAUCACUAUCUUCUCUAAUUCUCUCACACUCACUUCUCCCUCUCAU
rnacentral:lncRNA from 1 species